UUAUGCCUUUACCACUUCAAACCGGAAAGGUGUUGCAACAUAACAGUUUUAAUUGCUAAACCCUAGCUGCAAACCCAAAUCUCUGGAUUUAAUAAGAAUUGGGUGUGAAAGACUGUGAACAGUGGCAGUUUUCUGCCAGGUUUACCUUCUUUCCUGCUCUUGGUUGAGAUUUGCGGACCUUUGUAUCCACUGUGGUCUCCUUGGAACAAGCAACUGGAAAUUCUUCACACCAGCUAUGGCUGGUAGGAAUUUCGGGCCACAACUCAGGCUUCCAGACUCUGGACGGUAUUCCCAGAGUCAGCUCCCUUCUGAAUUGGGAGAAAGAGAGAAAGGAAAAUACAAGAAGACCCAACCAUGUGGAUUAACACCCUAUAGCAUGAUCCAGGCCCACAGCCAGCUCUGUGUUUCCAGGGUCAUAAUGGUGAAGAGGAUGGUGACAUCCAAGGACAACCACAGGGCCUCUCUCCUGACACUGGUGAGAACCAGAUUCCUUUCCCUGGUUCUGUAGCUCCCAGCAGAGUUUUGGAAGCUGAUUAAAGAGAAUGUUGGAAAUAACAGGCAAUUAGAAACCU
rnacentral:lncRNA from 10 species